rnacentral:rRNA from 1 species
GACGAACGCUGGCGGCGUGCCUAAUACAUGCAAGUCGAGCGCAGGAAGUCGACGGAACCCUUCGGGGGGAAGUCGACGGAAUGAGCGGCGGACGGGUGAGUAACACGUAAAGAACCUGCCCUCAGGUCUGGGAUAACCACGAGAAAUCGGGGCUAAUACCGGAUGGGUCAUCGGACCGCAUGGUCUGAGGAUGAAAGGCGCUUCGGCGUCGCCUGGGGAUGGCUUUGCGGUGCAUUAGCUAGUUGGUGGGGUAAUGGCCCACCAAGGCGACGAUGCAUAGCCGACCUGAGAGGGUGAUCGGCCACACUGGGACUGAGACACGGCCCAGACGCCUACGGGAGGCAGCAGUAGGGAAUCUUCCACAAUGGACGAAAGUCUGAUGGAGCAACGCCGCGUGAACGAUGAAGGCCUUCGGGUCGUAAAGUUCUGUUGUAAGAGAAGAACAAGUGCCGCAGGCAAUGGCGGCACCUUGACGGUACCUUGCGAGAAAGCCACGGCUAACUACGUGCCAGCCGCCGCCGUAAGAC